GCAGUGAGACUGCGGGGGAUAAGCUCCGUAGUCGAGAGGGAAACAGCCCAGACCAUCAGCUAAGGCCCCUAAGCGGUGACUAAGUGGAAAAGGAUGUGGAGUCGCAGUGACAACCAGGAGGUUGGCUUGGAAGCAGCCACCCUUGAAAGAGUGCGUAAUAGCUCACUGGUCAAGUGAUUCCGCGCCGACAAUGUAGCGGGGCUCAAGUCAUCCGCCGAAGCUAUGGCAUUCACGCGUGUAUCUAGCCGCCACCUCGUGUGGUUGGUUCAGGUGUGUGGAUGGGUAGGGGAGCGUCGUGUCGCGUGUGAAGUUCCGGAGUGAUCCAGGGGUGGAUGCGACACGAGUGAGAAUGCAGGCAUGAGUAGCGAAUCACGGGUGAGAAACCCGUGCGCCGAAUGAUCAAGGGUUCCAGGGUCAAGCUAAUCUGCCCUGGGUAAGUCGGGACCUAAGGCGAGGCCGACAGGCGUAGUCGAUGGACAACGGGUUGAUAUUCCCGUACCGGCAACGUAGCGCCCAUGACGAACCUGGUGAUGCUAACCAUCCGAAGCGCAGGUUGACCGAUCCCUUCGGGGUGAGGCUCUUGUGUGGAGCGUGGGACCCGAGCUGGUAGUAGUCAAGCGAUGGGGUGACGCAGGAAGGUAGCCCAACCACGCCGAUGGUUGUUGCGUGGGUAAGCAGGUAGGGGGCGGUCUAGGCAAAUCCGGACCGCUGUGUUUGAUCACGACCCUGAGAUGUGAUGCCGAGCCCGUAUGGGCGAAGUGGGUGAUCCUAUGCUGUCGAGAAAAACCUCUAGCGAGCUAUGCGCCGCCCGUACCCCAAACCGACUCAGGUGAUCAGGUAGAGAAUACUAAGGCGAUCGAGUGAACCAUGGUUAAGGAACUCGGCAAAAUGCCCCCGUAACUUCGGGAGAAGGGGGGCCGGAUCCGUGACCACCCUUGCGGUGGAAAGCGGUGAUGGCCGCAGAGACCAGGCCCAAGCGACUGUUUACUAAAAACACAGGUCCGUGCGAAGUUGUAAGACGAUGUAUACGGACUGACUCCUGCCCGGUGCUGGAAGGUUAAGGGGAACUGUUAGCGCAAGCGAAGCGGUGAACUUAAGCCCCAGUAAACGGCGGUGGUAACUAUAACCAUCCUAAGGUAGCGAAAUUCCUUGUCGGGUAAGUUCCGACCUGCACGAAUGGAGUAACGAUUUGGGCGCUGUCUCAACCAUGGACUCGGCGAAAUUGCACUACGAGUAAAGAUGCUCGUUACGCGCGGCAGGACGGAAAGACCCCGGGACCUUUACUAUAGUUUGGUAUUGGUGUUUGGUUCGGCUUGUGUAGGAUAGGUGGGAGACUGUGAAGCGGCCACGCCAGUGGUUGUGGAGUCAUCGUUGAAAUACCACUCUGGUCGUACUAGAUGUCUAACCUAGGACCGUUAUCCGGUUCAGGGACAGUGCCUGAUGGGUAGUUUAACUGGGGCGGUUGCCUCCUAAAAUGUAACGGAGGCGCUCAAAGGUUCCCUCAGCCUGGUUGGCAAUCAGGUGGCGAGUGUAAGUGCACAAGGGAGCUUGACUGUGAGACAGACAUGUCGAGCAGGGACGAAAGUCGGAACUAGUGAUCCGGCCACGGCAUGUGGAAGCGUGGUCGCUCAACGGAUAAAAGGUACCCCGGGGAUAACAGGCUGAUCUUCCCCAAGAG
rnacentral:rRNA from 1 species